AGGUCAGUAGCUCAAUUGGUAGAGCAGCGGUCUCCAAAACCGAAGAUUGGGGGUUCGAGUCCCUCCUGACCUG
rnacentral:tRNA from 1 species